rnacentral:lncRNA from 1 species
GUUUCACCUGUAUUUAGUUCCAGUGACAUGGAAAACACUGCAGCCAAUUGUCCUUAUUACAGUCCCUGUGUAUUUCUCCCCAGUGCACUUGCACAGGGGAAAGAUGUGAGCGUGGAGUGUACUUAACUGCCAGGCUGAAUGGCUCUGUAAUGUAGCUUCAGCAUGGCAUAAAUUAAGCUGUCAUUUUUUUGGCAGCAAGUGCAGAGAGGCGAUUUUCCUGUACUGUAACAUUUGAAACAACAAUUUUCUGGCUCCAGCAGUAACUGACAGUUCUGCGUGAUACAUGCUCAACAUUUGUGCUUCAGGGGACGCAGCUGGAAAAAACCUUUGGGAAAGUGUUUUGGCAGCUGGAACACCUCACAUUUAUUUUUGGACUCUGGCUAUGGGAGCUAGAGCAGCAGGCUGCCGACAGGACUCAUUGCUGUGUCUGAGCCAGUCUUUCCCACAUCCUGAUGCUGGCUUUUUCCAAAUGAGAAUUUGCUUUUUAAUUAACAGGCAAACAAACAAAGAAGGAGGCUGUUUGUUCUAGGACAAGGAGUGCCUGUUUGUCAGCAUCCUAGGACAGCUGGUGCAGGGUGGAGAAGGAGGAAUUUAAUAUGGAAUUGAGUUUGUUUGCAGAUCCUGAUCUCACGGUGAGACCCUGGGCAGAGCCUGUGGUCUGGCCUGGGGAGCCUUUGGGCAGCCUUUCCCACAGUGACGUGGGGGCUGCGAGGUCUCCAGAGCUCUCUGCUCCUCAGGGCAGGACACCUUCCUCCUGCCCUGCUUCAGGCUGGCAUCUUCCCUGCUGAAGAGACCCCAGCAGGCUCUGUGUCAGCACACUCUGCAGCAGCUACUUGCAAUCCAGCUUGGGAGCAGUGGGAUUUCUUGGGAGACCAUCAGCAGACAGAAUUCUGCAGGUGGCUACUGAUCUACAUGAGCAGCACCGAAGCAAUGUGGAGCUCCCCACACCCCCACCAGCAACUGUGAUAUGCAAAAGAUGAACAAAAUCGUGUAGUUAAACUACCUCUCCCAUCAGCUGAUGACAAAAAUCCUCUAGGGAUGUGCCACUAGCAGAAAUCUUCCCAGGAUAAUUACAAUGCCUUAUACUGUGCCAGCAGAAAAUUGUGGUUUUCAUCCAAUUCAGAAUUUCACUAUUCUGUGCCCUAUCAGCAAAAAAAAAAAUCACUCUAAGAUCUUCACAUUCACUUUAGGAUUUUUCCUGUGAAGCAUUUAGGUGUGGCUCAAGCUCUCUUUUGGAUGGGGUCCUUUAUGUGGAGUAAAACACCGGUUUACCUGAAGAAUCACCCUGUGUUUUAAAUCACGUUUGAACAUGACUCGCUAUGCACAAAUUUGAAACAGUUAAACUGAAUAAUAUUUAUCCUCAGUAUUUAUUCCUCAGUGAGAUCUUGUGCUUCUGUUGCCUCUCUGAGAACGUUAUAGUGCCCAGAGAACUGGGGUGUAAUUGUCACCAAAUCUGUUCAAUAGCUCCUAGAGUUAGCACACAGGUGAUGAAUGGACCGUGUGUUCUACAGGAGCACUUCAUCAGCACCAAACAGCACAUCACCCACCUGAUGCAGUGACAAAACCCUCGCUAGCAAUGCACCAGCUCACACUGGAAAGGACUACACAGGGAUUUUCUCAGCUCUUACCCCUUCUUACCUCCAUCAGGUCAGCAGAGGUGAUGUCAAUGUAAAAAAAAUUAAAAUUUCAAGCACAGUGUCACAUUUAUAGUGUUACAUAUUCAGUGCUAAAGUUAAAGCAUUUACAUUGCCAUAAAAACUGUUAGUCUAGAAUGAAUACUCCCACAAGUCAAAUAAACUAAACCAAUUCAAAAUAUCUUGCCUCUAG